ACAUGUGGCUUUGAGAUUAGUUGUAACAGAAGGACCUACACUUUGUUCCCAACCCUCUGCCUUUGAGUUUCCUUCCAGACUGUUGGAGCAUGUAGGGAGCCCCAGAAGAAACCUUUCUCCCUGAUUUAAGCAUAGGCUUCACAGAGUGACAAAAUUCCUUGGAAAGGUGGUGGCUGGGCAUCUUUGCAACUGCUGGAUGCUUCCCAGAGAGAGCAGCUUUGGGAAUUCCUGCUGACGGGAGAGAGGGAAAGGACUGACACGCAGCUUGGGGAGAGGAGGAAAUGCACCCUCCCCACAGAUACUUGGUGUCUGCGUCUUAAAUUCUCUCUCCUUGCAAAUAGUUCCCAGAAUGAUUCUUGCUUCACAGAGCCUUCCUGAACAAAACAUGAGGACAAGAUUUACACCCCAGGAGGAUCGAAGGGAGCUGGGAAAACUGAGCUAAGACAUAUGGAAACAUGACAGCAAUGCCCAAAUGGUAACUGGGUCAGAUUCCACAGAUCUGACCCAAGUGCUGAGGCUGUGGGUCA